UGGGGAAUAUUGCACAAUGGGCGCAAGCCUGAUGCAGCCAUGCCGCGUGUGUGAAGAAGGCCUUCGCGUUGUAAAGCACUUUCAGCGAGGAGGAAGGUGGUGAACUUAAUACGUUCAUCAAUUGACGUUACUCGCAGAAGAAGCACCGGCUAACUCCGUGCCAGCAGCCGCGGUAAUACGGAGGGUGCAAGCGUUAAUCGGAAUUACUGGGCGUAAAGCACACGCAGGCGGUUUGUUAAGUCAGAUGUGAAAUCCCCGGGCUCAACCUGGGAACUGCAUUUGAAACUGGCAAGCUAGAGUCUCGUAGAGGGGGGUAGAAUUCCAGGUGGUAGCGGUGAAAUGCGUAGAGAUCUGGAGGAAUACCGGUGGCGAAGGCGGCCCCCUGGACGAAGACUGACGCUCAGGUGCGAAAGCGUGGGGGCAAACAGAUUAGAUACCCUGGUAGUCCACGCUGUAAACGAUGUCGAUUUUGGAGGUUGUGCCCUUGAGGCGUGGCUUCCGGAGCUAACGCGUUAAAUCGACCGCCUGGGG
rnacentral:rRNA from 1 species